AGUCGUAACAAGGUUUCCGUAGGUGAACCUGCGGAAGGAUCAUUACAGAAUGAAAGUGCUUAACUGCAUUUUUUUACACAUGUGUUUUUCUUUUUUUUUGAAAACUUUGCUUUGGUGGGCCCAUGGCCUGCCAGAGAUUAAACUCAACCAAAUUUUAUUUAAGUCAACUGAUUAACUAAUAGUCAAAACUUUCAACAACGGAUCUCUUGGUUCUCGCAUCGAUGAAGAACGCAGCGAAAUGCGAUAAGUAAUAUGAAUUGCAGAUAUUCGUGAAUCAUCGAAUCUUUGAACGCACAUUGCGCCCUUUGGUAUUCCAAAGGGCAUGCCUGUUUGAGCGUCAUUUCUCCCUCAAACCUUCGGGUUUGGUGUUGAGCGAUACGCUGGGUUUGCUUGAAAGAAAGGCGGAGUAUAAACUAAUGGAUAGGUUUUUUUCCACUCAUUGGUACAAACUCCAAAAUUCUUCCAAAUUCGACCUCAAAUCAGGUAGGACUACCCGCUGAACCUAAGCAUAUCA
rnacentral:misc_RNA from 1 species